UUUUAAUAGCUUAUAUUAGAGCAUAAUAUUGAAGAUAUUAAGGAAGAAUUAUUCUUUAAAAUAU
rnacentral:tRNA from 2 species